GUCCUAGCUGUAAACGGUGCACAUUUGCUGUGAACGGAUUCGACCCCGUUCGUGGCGAAGCUAACGCGUUAAAUGUGCCGCCUGGGAAGUACGGUCGCAAGAUUAAAACUCAAAGAAAUUGACGGGGGCCUGCACAAGCGGUGGAGUAUGUGGCUCAAUUCGAUGCAACGCGAAGAACCUUACCUGGCCUUGACAUGUAGGUGGUAGAAGGAUGAAAGUCUAACGACCCCGCAAGGGGAGCCUACACAGGUGCUGCAUGGCUGUCGU
rnacentral:rRNA from 1 species